rnacentral:misc_RNA from 1 species
UCCGGUUUGUCACCGGCAGUCUCAUUAGAGUGCCCAACUGAAUGUAGCAACUGGAAGCAGGGUUGCGCUCGUUGAUGGACUUAACCAAACAUCUCACGACACGAGCUGACGACGGCCAUGCAACACCUGUCACUUGGCUUCCGAAGACACUUUCUCCUUUCGGAGAAAUUCCAAGGAUGUCAAGCCUGGGUAAGGUUCUUCGCUUACCAUCGAAUUAAACAACACGCUCCACCGCUUGUGCGGGUCCCCGUCAAUUCCUUUAUGUUUUAAGCUUGCGCUCGUACUCCACAGGCGGGAUGCUUAACGCGUUAGCUUCGCUACUAGAGGGGUCGAUACCUCUAACAGCUAGCAUCCAUAGUUUACGGCGUGGACUAC